CGGUUCAUCUUUUCUUGAUCUUUGUUCUAUAAACAAAAGGCAUGAGAGGACGUUGCAGAUGUUUGGGACGGAUGCAACUUCUUGAAACACUAGACAACCACAAAAUAUUCGGGCUAGGAUGGAUAGAGAUUGCGGUCAAGAGCAUCUUAUCCACCAAGUCAGCCCAAAAAACCUAAGCCACCACCUUGGGGCUCUAGCCCCCACCCCCAAGCCAAAAUUUACAGUAGAUCCUUAUAGAUUCUCCUAUCUUAGUAUUGAUGAAGAUCGGCCACGUGCUCAGGAGGAGGUCAGUCAGCUAGGAAUCAUGAUGGAAGCUCACUGUGCAGCCAUCGUCCAGCACCCAUCUGGUCUGAGUCCCCACCACAAAGG
rnacentral:lncRNA from 1 species